rnacentral:rRNA from 1 species
AUUGAACGCUGGCGGCAGGCCUUACACAUGCAAGUCGAACGAGUGGCGGACGGGUGAGUAAUGUCUGGGACACUGCCUGAUGGAGGGGGAUAACUACUGGAAACGGUAGCUAAUACCGCAUACCAUCGGAUGUGCCCAGAUGGGCUUAGCUAGUUGGUGGGGUAAAGGCUCACCUAGGCAACGAUCCCUAGCUGGUUUGAGAGGAUGACCAGCCACAAUGGAACUGAGACACGGUCCAGAAUCCGAAGUGAGGCAGCAGUGGGGAAUAUUGCACAAUGGGGGAAAGCCUGAUGCAGCCAUGCCGCGUGUAUGAAGAAGGCCUUCGGGUUGUAAAGUACUUUGAGCGGAGAGGCGUUACCCGCAGAAGAAGCACCGGCUAACUCCGUGCCAGCAGCCGCGGUAAUAC